UCUUGACAUUUGUUUUAACCGAUAGAACCAACGUACAAAAACAAUUUGGAUCGUGUUUCAAGAAGCUCACAUUUUGACAGAAAGAAAGGCCGCGGUUUAAUCCUCUUUAUUCAGCAUCUAAAAAUAUAAAUUCAAAAGUUAUGGGUUCGCCUGGCGUGUGCGGCUUGGCAGCUGCAUCCACACUCUCAUUCUCUGCCGCAGCUGCUCUUUUUCUCUCCUCUCGUCAGCUAAUUCAGUCAGCUACGCGACUGUCAAGGUCAAGGUCUUUUAUUUAUUUAGGUGACUCUUCCGCCCGACCUACCCCAAGACGCGGCGCACGGUGGAAUAACAAGACUAAGUUUAAAAUAACGUUGAGGGUUGAGAAUAAACAAACAAACUAAAGCGUUCAGCACGAGCGAUUUAUUUCUAUCCGACUGCUUGUUUUGCGACUAGAGGCUCCUAACGAGGCACCCCACAACACACAACCAACGCCGGUUUACUAUAGACGCUGAUUUAAAAAUAGAAAGCACAUGGAGCACAAUGAACUCGAGAACGCGAGCCAGGGAACGGGAAGUAAGGGAGAGUGGCAGUUUUGGCUGUAUAUUUGAGCUGUACGGUGGUGAAAACCUAUAAAAAGACACCAAGUUCGAUGAAAUUGGAAAUUUUCGAAUUUUUUUAACUCAGGGUCACGUCAGGGACAGACCCUGAAGGUCGAUUUGAAACUUCCUUGGUCUACCCUAGGCCCCAUUGGUGUUUCUAAGCAAGUGAAAUGCGAAAAAAAUCAACUUUACGAACGAGAGGUGAACUCGCCGCUCAAAGUGCAAAGUGCACGCGCGGUAAAGCGGCCCCGAGCAGUUUUUCAAACUUCAAAUUCGAAUUGCAGCAAAAGUAUCGCGAUUGCACCUAUGAAACUUGGUGUACUUGUGUAGAAUUUCACGGGCUACAUUUCAGCCCUGAACCCCAAAAAAAUCGUAGGGGGCUAUCAUCCCUUAAUUUUGAAUUUUCAAAAAGAGGUCGCAAAAAGUGACCUUGACCUUCGACCUGCGAAUUUUUUGUAAAUGCAAAAGUUGUUCAGGAUCAAAAACUAGGUUGGGCAGUGAAAAUUUCAAGGUGAUACCUCAACGCAGUCAAGAGUCAAGAGUUGCAGUUUAGAAUUCAUUUACAGAAUUCGUUUUUUGGGUAUUUUUGAGAUACCGAAAAAAUAGGGAACGCCCCCAUUCCCGAGCUUCAAAUUUGGAAUUUCACCAUCUAUUAACAAGCACUUUAAGCAAAUAUGACAGCCAUCUAAAAAUUUCAACGCUGAAAAAUCGCGUCCAAUCGACCUCCAAUCUCGCAAAUAACUGCUCUUAAGCGUAAAUUAGAACCACUAAGCACGGGGCCAGAGGGCGCCGACGUGCGGAUCAGCGGCCCCCGGCGCCACCUUUCACGACACUCAACAAACACCCAAAUUUUAUUUGUCUAAUUGAUUGUUGCCCUUUUCUUGCAACAAGCAAAUUCGCGUUUGGUUGUUGAAAGUUGUGCAAAUUUUCCGCUACCAUGAAGUAUAUUGUUUCGCAAAAACCUGCAUUUUUUCCGGAAAGCCUACUGCAUAACAAAAAAAACUAUUUCUUGCGAGAUUUUCUGCAAUAUUUUGCGCAUUUUUAUGGAAUAUAAAAAAUUAUUAUGUUUCAUGUUGGAUGACCAAAAAUAGGAAUUUUACAAAAUCAGUAUAAAAGUCACUGUUAAUGGGUUCGCCAAUUUUGCCGUUCGUAAAAAUGCACCACUGGUUUUGUAAGCAAAAAACUAGUUGGAGAAGUUUUUCCGAAUUUAACCACGAAAUUAAAAAAAUUUAACCCGAAUUUUUCCCGAAGGAUGUCUUGAGGCGUUCUAUGUCACAGUAAAAAUGGUAACACGCCAAUCCAAUCAAAAAAUUUGAAGAACUCUCCUAUGCACACCAAUUAAUUAUUUCGUUAAAAUAUAUUUGCGGCCAGAAUGAAUGGCUGAAGCCAUCUAGCGUGCGAUUUGGCAGCUCUCUAAACAAGCCAAUAGCUGGCCUUGGAAUUAUUUAUCUAUUCUCUCUGCCUGUUGAUCCGUCGGCUGUGUGAGUGUGUGACCCGCUAACCCAGUCCCUCUCUUUUCUUCUCCCUGCCUCACGUUCCGAUCCGAGGGUUCAUUGUGCUCCGCUUUCCCUUUUUAACGCUGGUUUGAAUGGGUGUGCGCCUCCGUGCCUCGUUAGGAGCCUCCAGUCGCAAUGCAAGCAGUCAGCUACAAUUAAAUCGCUUCAGCUGCGCGCUUUCGUUUGCUUCUUGCCAAUAAUAGCUUAAUUUAUUUUCAACCCUCAAUUUUAUUUUAAAUUUAGCUUUUAAAAAUAUGCUUAAAACAGUCGUUCCUUUUGUUUCGCCGCCGCGCGUCGCGCCUUGGGUCGGCAAGAGUGUCUUGACUAUAGCUACCUGCAAACGGUCUUCACCUUGACAGUCGUGUAACUUUUAAUGAGCUGACGAGAGGAGAGAAAAAAGUGAGGCCGGUGCGAGUGAGAGUGUGGAAAUAGAAAAUAUGGGAUCAAGUUUUUAGAAUGUUCUCGCACAAUAUCUCCUCCUUAUCGGGAGAUAACAUUGUGUUGCGACUGCUGUCAAUUCAAUUUUCCUGGCCAAAUUGGCACGAUCUCCUCCGCUCCUUUAUUUACAGUCUAAAAGCGGUGUCUCGACAGUCCCAGUCUCACCUUCUCGCGCGAACACACAAAUCACUGCACGGACGCAUGCGUAUACAAGCGAUCCGCGUGCGUCGGGACUCGGGGAGAGGUGCAGAAAAGAGCCGUGCAUUUCAUCGACAGCUACGGCCGCAAUCCGUCGCCGGCCAACGAGUGCCCAUCAACUCCAAUUUGAGAACGCGGAAUUUAGUGGGCACCAAUUUCAUGUUUGGUUUAGACGGAUGGGACCCAUAGGACCGCUGGAGCUAUUAUUUUUAAAAGUAAAAAAACGCGGUAUAUUUUGAUCUUUUUCGGGGCCGUGUGUUUCCCCGCGUUCUAGAGCAUAUCUCAUAGGCGCACUCAGGGUUAGAUUAGAGAUACCCAGGGAAGGAGGUCGUAAAUUUUAAACUCCCGCUAAAUCCGAAGGGACACUUAAAAUUCGAAAAUGGCAAUAUAAAUCAUUUGCAUUUUAAUGUUUUUUAAUAAAAUUAGUAAAAAUCUAAAAUUUUUAAAUUAAAAGGAUUUUUCUGCCGAUCAUAUAGGUACAAGUGUGUGGUGGUGCUGCACACGCUUGAUAAAAUGAACCAAAGGGUGAACAUUGAGAGCUGGCCACUGCGUGGGACUGCAAGCUUGCGAUAACCAAUCGCAGCAGCACCAAACCGGUUUUGGCCGCGUCGCAACAGUCAUAUAUAUCGCCGCGUCUUUUACGACUAAUUUUUUGGAUUAAAAAUAGCAAAAGACGUGUUUAUAAAUGAUGUCUAAGCGACUAUUUGGAACGAAUGAAUAAAAAGUGCCGUAAAACAUUUUGUUUUCAUUUUAAGCUGAUGUGAGAGAGCCGAUAGAGGUUUAUCAAUAAAUCCAGGGGCGGAAGGAGAAACAAGCGACUCGUUUCCCGCCAGAAAAACGCGGGAAAAAACCAGUUGCGAAAUAAGUCUGCGCCAAGAGGGACGCGAUCGCUACACGCUUAACCUUCGGAGCGGGAAAUAUCUCAGGUUUGCGAUUCAUUCUUUCUACCAUUCCCCAUCCAUUUUUUUUAGAUGAAUUAUUAUUGAUAUCUUUAUUGGCUUUUGGUGACGUCACAUCAGAUAUGGUUACAUUUCUAAUAUAAUAUGCCCCCCAGUUGCAAUGACUCAAAACUGCGGGGCAAGCCGCUACCCAAGAACCACUGUUUUAUGAAUUAAAAUUAGCUUUCCUUUAUUUUUCACUACACGUCGAGCGAUCACUGUUUUACUUUAAGUAGCUUUGGCAUCAUCCAAACCCUAAAAUGUAUUUCUGCCGGCGGCGUCGCUUUAUUACGAGUCUUUUGGUUCGCCGCCACGAUUUCAAUGGACUCGUAUGCAGACGGCGGUACUCGGCGUCUUUAUUCAAGUGAUAAUACCGCGAAAUAUGCUGCUUAUUCUCGGCUUGCGGCCUCGCGUGGCUCUCGACGUUGAAUAUCUUAAGAUUGACUCCGGGACUUAAUCAAUUGUUUGCGAAAAACCUGAUUUCGUUUCUGUGCGCACGCAAAAAGAUCCCGCCGCGGUACCAUGAUGCGGGUCAGGCCAUCUUUUUUAGAUUUAGUUAAUCGUUAAAUUUUCAGCGAUUGUGACCCAUACAAAAUGGCACACAAAAAAUAGUUUAUCGCACUUUGGGUUAUUGAAAACGUUGCGUACAUCGCAGAGGUUUCAAGCAGAUGAAAGGUUAAAUUUAAUAAAGAAAUAAAAAUUCUGCCAAUAAGCAUAUUCAAAACAAUAUUACAAAAAUUUUAUUUUAUUUUCCGGUGAUAAAUUAAUUUAGUUCCGUUUUUAUGUAAUUAAGAGUAUUUUUUUUUAAUAUUUUAAAUGUACCUUUUAUUUCCAGAUCCACCUGUAGACGCAAGGAAGCUCUGAAAUUUUGAAAAGGAAAUUCUUUGAAAGGCAGGAUGAUGACACUGUUGCUGCUUCUAUUACUAAUUCAUUUCCAGAUUAUUUUGCCAACCGACAGUGCCUCGAUCGAGUUCCAAAAUAAUGCACUUGACAACUGGCAGCUUCUGAUAGGCGCAAACAGAGAAGAAUUUCAUUACGACUUCUGUCAGUACAACGCGACAAGCGGCGGCAAGCGCUGUAAAAACUUUCCGAAAUUUGCGUCCAUUCAGAUGAUGGAAGUGUGCAACUGCUUCGUUCAUCACAUUGAUUUCGAAGCAGACUCUUUCAGCUUCGAAAUUGUCUGUCAAAACAAUUCGAGUUCGUGUCCCUCGGACUUAACCCUCAGCUACCAAGAAGGAGCAAACCCCAACGCAAGUAAUGCUGGAUCUCAACGGAAUAACUCACUGUCAAUUUUUAUUGCACUUUUUAUUUUGGGGUCAGAAUAUUAAAAAUUUGGCUAUUUCCUUUACCUCAUCUGACCGUUUUGACCUUACAAAAAAGGGAAACACAAAGUAUUUUGAUCACUUUCAUAGCAUUAGGUUUUCAUUUAGUCUGAUAUUUUUAUUAUUUUCUUAUUUCUCUUGUAGCAAAAUAUUUCUGUUCCAACUUUUUCUGUAUAUUUUGCAUACAAAAAAAAAUAAAAUAAAAAAAUACAUGAAAAUUAAUUUCCUAUUGUCUUGCCAUCUUACUUAAUG